rnacentral:rRNA from 1 species
GACGAACGCUGGCGUUGUGCUUAACACAUGCAAGUCGAACGGAAAGGCCCUGCUUUUGUGGGGUGCUCGAGUGGCGAACGGGUGAGUAACACGUGAGUAACCUGCCCUUGACUUUGGGAUAACUUCAGGAAACUGGGGCUAAUACCGGAUAGGAGCUCCUGCUGCAUGGUGGGGGUUGGAAAGUUUCGGCGGUUGGGGAUGGACUCGCGGCUUAUCAGCUUGUUGGUGGGGUAGUGGCUUACCAAGGCUUUGACGGGUAGCCGGCCUGAGAGGGUGACCGGCCACAUUGGGACUGAGAUACGGCCCAGACUCCUACGGGAGGCAGCAGUGGGGAAUAUUGCACAAUGGGCGGAAGCCUGAUGCAGCAACGCCGCGUGCGGGAUGACGGCCUUCGGGUUGUAAACCGCUUUCGCCUGUGACGAAGCGUGAGUGACGGUAAUGGGUAAAGAAGCACCGGCUAACUACGUGCCAGCAGCCGCGGUGAUACGUAGGGUGCGAGCGUUGUCCGGAUUUAUUGGGCGUAAAGGGCUCGUAGGUGGUUGAUCACGUCGGAAGUGUAAUCUUGGGGCUUAACCCUGAGCGUGCUUUCGAUACGGGUUGACUUGAGGAAGGUAGGGGAGAAUGGAAUUCCUGGUGGAGCGGUGGAAUGCGCAGAUAUCAGGAGGAACACCAGUGGCGAAGGCGGUUCUCUGGGCCUUUCCUGACGCUGAGGAGCGAAAGCGUGGGGAGCGAACAGGCUUAGAUACCCUGGUAGUCCACGCUGUAAACGGUGGGUACUAGGUGUGGGGUCCAUUCCACGGGUUCCGUGCCGUAGCUAACGCUUUAAGUACCCCGCCUGGGGAGUACGGCCGCAAGGCUAAAACUCAAAGGAAUUGACGGGGCCCCGCACAAGCGGCGGAGCAUGCGGAUUAAUUCGAUGCAACGCGUAGAACCUUACCUGGGUUUGACAUGGAUCGGGAGUGCUCAGAGAUGGGUGUGCCUCUUUUGGGGUCGGUUCACAGGUGGUGCAUGGCUGUCGUCAGCUCGUGUCGUGAGAUGUUGGGUUAAGUCCCGCAACGAGCGCAACCCUUGUUCACUGUUGCCAGCACGUUAUGGUGGGGACUCAGUGGAGACCGCCGGGGUCAACUCGGAGGAAGGUGGGGAUGACGUCAAGUCAUCAUGCCCCUUAUGUCCAGGGCUUCACGCAUGCUACAAUGGCUGGUACAGAGAGUGGCGAGCCUGUGAGGGUGAGCGAAUCUCGGAAAGCCGGUCUCAGUUCGGAUUGGGGUCUGCAACUCGACCUCAUGAAGUCGGAGUCGCUAGUAAUCGCAGAUCAGCAACGCUGCGGUGAAUACGUUCCCGGGGCU